rnacentral:rRNA from 1 species
UACAGAGGUCUCAAGCGUUGUUCGGAUUCAUUGGGCGUAAAGGGUGUGUAGGUGGCGCCGUAAGUCGGGUGUGAAAUUUCGGAGCUUAACUCCGAAACUGCAUUCGAUACUGCGGUGCUUGAGGACUGGAGAGGAGACUGGAAUUUACGGUGUAGCAGUGAAAUGCGUAGAUAUCGUAAGGAAGACCAGUGGCGAAGGCGGGUCGCUGGACAGUUCCUGACACUGAGACACGAAGGCCAGGGGAGCAAACGGG